UACGAAGGGGGCUAGCGUUGCUCGGAAUCACUGGGCGUAAAGGGUGCGUAGGCGGGUCUUUAAGUCAGGGGUGAAAUCCUGGAGCUCAACUCCAGAACUGCCUUUGAUACUGAAGAUCUUGAGUUCGGGAGAGGUGAGUGGAACUGCGAGUGUAGAGGUGAAAUUCGUAGAUAUUCGCAAGAACACCAGUGGCGAAGGCGGCUCACUGGUCCGGUACUGACGCUGAUGUGCGAAAGCGUGGG
rnacentral:rRNA from 1 species